CCUACGGGGGGCAGCAGUGAGGAAUAUUGGUCAAUGGACGAGAGUCUGAACCAGCCAAGUCGCGUGAGGGAAGACGGCCCUACGGGUUGUAAACCUCUUUUGUCGGGGAGCAAAGCGAACCACGUGUGGUUCAUUGAGAGUACCCGAAGAAAAAGCAUCGGCUAACUCCGUGCCAGCAGCCGCGGUAAUACGGAGGAUGCGAGCGUUAUCCGGAUUUAUUGGGUUUAAAGGGUGCGUAGGCGGGAUGCCAAGUCAGCGGUAAAAAUGCGGUGCUCAACGCCGUCGAGCCGUUGAAACUGGCGUUCUUGAGUGGGCGAGAAGUAUGCGGAAUGCGUGGUGUAGCGGUGAAAUGCAUAGAUAUCACGCAGAACUCCGAUUGCGAAGGCAGCAUACCGGCGCCCUACUGACGCUGAGGCACGAAAGCGUGGGUAUCGAACAGGAUUAGAUACCCGGGUAGUC
rnacentral:rRNA from 1 species